AUUGAACGCUGGCGGCAUGCCUUACACAUGCAAGUCGAACGGCAGCGCGGACUACGGUCUGGCGGCGAGUGGCGAACGGGUGAGUAAUGUAUCGGAACGUACCAUUCAGUGGGGGAUAACGCAGCGAAAGUUGCGCUAAUACCGCAUAUUCUGUGCGCAGGAAAGCAGGGGAUCGCAAGACCUUGCGCUGAUUGAGCGGCCGAUAUCAGAUUAGCUAGUUGGUGAGUUAAAGGCUCACCAAGGCGACGAUCUGUAGCGGGUCUGAGAGGAUGAUCCGCCACACUGGAACUGAGACACGGUCCAGACUCCUACGGGAGGCAGCAGUGGGGAAUUUUGGACAAUGGGCGCAAGCCUGAUCCGGCCAUGCCGCGUGAGUGAAGAAGGCCUUCGGGUUGUAAAGCUCUUUCGGCCGGGAAGAAAUCGUAUGGGUUAAUACCCUGUGCGGAUGACGGUACCGGCAUAAGAAGCACCGGCUAACUACGUGCCAGCAGCCGCCGUAAGAC
rnacentral:rRNA from 1 species